UGGGCAAAUUCUCAUUUCACCACCAAAAACUCCCUUUGCUCUCUCCUUUGUCGAUCGCCGUCACUCCCUCUUUGCUCUGCCGCAGUCUUUCUGCUUUUCAGUCCCUGCCACUGCAGAUUUCACUCUUUCGCAGGUGAUUCCACCGCCAGAUGAAGAAGGGAUUGCACCCUCAGAUGCAGUGGAUAUCUUAUGUGACCCCAAGUGGUCGAUUUAUUAACUUCAUGAUGACAAAAAUACAUAGUGUCGGUAAAGUUUAUCAUCUGAGGGCGAAACGUCAAUUAGCUGCAACUGAAGGACAGAUUGCUAAGUUCAACCGCCGCUAUGGGCUGGAGAAGCAGGAUGACACGGAGCACUCGGAGAAAAAUGAUAAAUGAAUUAUGCUUGUUGGUAACGCAAUGUUGGGUAUUUGUCAUCGAAUUAGGCACCUUUGCUAUCGAAUAACUUGAGCUUUGUUCGAUAAUUGAAGCUCGUUUAAUCUUUAGAACUUCCCCUUUUUGAUACAAUAGUGUUUCGAUUGUGGUUUGACCAUCAUUUGUUUGAUGCGUUGCUGCUUUAAUAUAGCUUCAUUUCUCGGGUUUUCGUUCCUUCUUUCCUAUGA